AUUGAACGCUGGCGGCAUGCCUUACACAUGCAAGUCGAACGGCAGCACGGGUGCUUGCACCUGGUGGCGAGUGGCGAACGGGUGAGUAAUACAUCGGAACAUGUCCUGUAGUGGGGGAUAGCCCGGCGAAAGCCGGAUUAAUACCGCAUACGAUCUACGGAUGACAGCGGGGGACCUUCGGGCCUCGCGCUAUUGGGUUGGGCGAUGGCUGAUUAGCUAGUUGGGGGGGUAAAGGCCUACCAAGGCGACGAUCAGUAGCUGGUCGGAGAGGACGACCAGCCACACUGGGACUGAGACACGGCCCAGACUCCUACGGGAGGCAGCAGUGGGGAAUUUUGGACAAUGGGCGAAAGCCUGAUCCAGCAAUGCCGCGUGUGUGAAGAAGGCCUUCGGGUUGUAAAGCACUUUUGUCCGGAAAGAAAUCCUUGGCCCUAAUACGGUCGGGGGAUGACGGUACCGGAAGAAUAAGCACCGGCUAACUACGUG
rnacentral:rRNA from 1 species